rnacentral:snoRNA from 1 species
GAGCAAGGGUGUCUUUCAAAAAUGACAAAACACUUGCAUUGAAGGUUGGCGAUAUCUUUAGCGAUUCUCCGUGCCUUUCAAACUUUUUUUGUAUUGAUUACGGCCUCGAACAAAUCGCUACAUU